ACCAGUUUUUAUUAAAUCGUAAAUAAACGUUGUUUUUUAUUUCGUUUUUUGUUAGGACUUCCUUUAAUUAAAACUACCUUAAAAAAAACAACUUCUUAGUAUGGAUAUCUCUUAAACUUGAAUUGUAGUAACGGUUGCUGUUAACUGAAAUGAAUAAAACGAUGAAACAACAUUUGAUAGCCAUUGUCCUUGGCCUUAUCGAAGCUUAUCUAGCUGCAAUUUACCAGUUAGAAAAGUCAAAAAUAGGCCUACAAAAUUGGCAAAUGCCGGUAACGAUUAUUUUUGCUUUGUUUCGCGAAAUCUUUAGUGAACGAAAAUCAAGGCUUAUAAUACAUUUUUAGAAAGUUGCACAUUUCACAUACAAAAUUUUUUAUUUAUUGCUAUCCUGGUAUCUAUAUAGUCGAUGAAUAUUUAUUAUUUUUAUUUUUUAAAUCAUUAAUUGUAUGGU